CAGCAGCAGCCGCGGUAAAACGUAGGGUGCAAGCGUUAAUCGGAAUUACUGGGCGUAAAGCGUGCGCAGGCGGUUAUAUAAGACAGAUGUGAAAUCCCCGGGCUCAACCUGGGAACUGCAUUUGUGACUGUAUAGCUAGAGUACGGCAGAGGGGGAUGGAAUUCCGCGUGUAGCAGUGAAAUGCGUAGAUAUGCGGAGGAACACCGAUGGCGAAGGCAAUCCCCUGGGCCUGUACUGACGCUCAUGCACGAAAGCGUGGGGAGCAAACAGGAUUAGAUACCCCGGUAGUCCCUGUCUCUUAUAC
rnacentral:rRNA from 1 species